UACGUAGGGGGCAAGCGUUGUCCGGAUUUAUUGGGCGUAAAGAGCGUGUAGGCGGCCAUUCAGGUCAGCUGUGAAAACUCGAGGCUCAACCUCGAGACGUCGGUUGAAACCGUUUGGCUAGAGUCCGGAAGAGGAGAGUGGAAUUCCCGGUGUAGCGGUGAAAUGCGCAGAUAUCGGGAAGAACACCCGUGGCGAAGGCGGCUCUCUGGAACGCAACUGACGCUGAGACGCGAAAGCGUGGGGAGCAAACAGG
rnacentral:rRNA from 1 species